UACUAGAUAUUGACCCGCGGUAC
rnacentral:siRNA from 1 species